ACCGGCGGCUCGAGUGGUGGCCACUAUUACUGGGCUUAAAGCGUCCGUAGCUGGAUUGUUAAGUCUCUUGGGAAAUCCACCGGCUCAACCGAUGGGCGUUCAGGAGAAACUGGCAAUCUAGGGACCGGGAGAGGUGAGAGGUACUCCAGGGGUAGGAGUGAAAUCCUGUAAUCCUUGGGGGACCACCUGUGGCGAAGGCGUCUCACUAGAACGGCUCCGACAGUGAGGGACGAAAGCUGGGGGAGCAAACCG
rnacentral:rRNA from 1 species